CCUACGGGAGGCAGCAGUGGGGAAUAUUGGACAAUGGGCGAAAGCCUGAUCCAGCAAUGCCGCGUGAGUGAUGAAGGCCUUCGGGUCGUAAAGCUCUUUUACCAGGGAUGAUAAUGACAGUACCUGGAGAAUAAGCUCCGGCUAACUCCGUGCCAGCAGCCGCGGUAAUACGGAGGGAGCUAGCGUUGUUCGGAAUUACUGGGCGUAAAGAGUACGUAGGCGGUUAUUCAAGUCAGAGGUGAAAGCCCGGGGCUCAACCCCGGAACUGCCUUUGAAACUAGAUAACUAGAGUCUUGGAGAGGUUAGUGGAAUUCCGAGUGUAGAGGUGAAAUUCGUAGAUAUUCGGAAGAACACCAGUGGCGAAGGCGACUAACUGGACAAGUACUGACGCUGAGGUACGAAAGCGUGGGGAGCAAACAGGAUUAGAUACCCUGGUAGUCCACGCCGUAAACGAUGAUAACUAGUUGUUCGGUCACUUGGUGACUGAGUGACGCAGCUAACGCAUUAAGUUAUCCGCCUGGGGAGUACGGUCGCAGAUUAAAACUCAAAGGAAUUGACGGCUGNGAGUGCGAGACGACGACGAGGAGAGG
rnacentral:rRNA from 1 species